rnacentral:rRNA from 1 species
UACAGAGGUCUCAAGCGUUGUUCGGAAUCACUGGGCGUAAAGGGUGCGUAGGCCGCACGGAAAGUCAGAGGUGAAAUCCCGGAGCUCAACUCCGGAAUUGCCUCCGAUACUCCCGUGCUUGAGGACUGGAGAGGAGUCUGGAAUUCACAGUGGAGCAGUGAAAUGCGUAGAUAUUGUGAGGAACACUAGUGGCGAAGGCGGCGACCUGGGUAGAUACUGACGCUGAGGCGCGAAAGCGUGGGGAGCAAACAGG